rnacentral:rRNA from 1 species
UACGUAUGUCCCGAGCGUUAUCCGGAUUUAUUGGGCGUAAAGCGAGCGCAGUCGGUUAAUUGAGUCUGAUGUGAAAGCCCGGAGCUCAACUCCGGAAUGGCAUUGGAAACUGGUUAACUUGAGUGCAGUAGAGGUAAGUGGAACUCCAUGUGUAGCGGUGGAAUGCGUAGAUAUAUGGAAGAACACCAGUGGCGAAGGCGGCUUACUGGACAACAUCUGACGUUGAGGCUCGAAAGUUUGGGUAG